rnacentral:miRNA from 1 species
ACGCCACCACCCCCAUGAUCC